GCUUGGCGUUCUGUAUCAUUCACGUAUCGCAAACUUGCCACUUCUAAUGCCAGAGUAACGCACAAACCUGCAUUAGCGUAAGGGAAAAUGUCUGUUAAACUAAUGGAAUUUAGUGUCAUGAAUAUGAUGACAAAGAUUGACAAGAAGUAGAUGACGAAGGCUUUUAUCACUCGGGACUCGAGAAGCAUCGCAUUGUGCAGAGCAAACAGCUUAUCCAAAGCUACAAACAUGUUUGCUUGUUUCGCCUCAAACGCUUCCUGCAAAAACAGAUUGUUAUAUAACGUUGUUUUAUGUGA